CAAUAGCGUAUAUUAAAGUUGUUGCGGUUAAAAAGCUCGUAGUUGGAUUUCUGUUGAGAGCAGCCGGUCUGCACUUGGUGCAUGUAUCUGGUUUGAUCUCGGCAUCCUCUCGAAAGACGUUUCUGCGCUUGAUUGCGUGGAGCGGAGUUUGGGACUUUUACUUUGAGGAAAUUAGAGUGUUCACGGCAGGCAGUCGCCUUGAAUAUAUUAGCAUGGAAUAAUAAUAUAGGAUCUUGGUUCUAUUUUGUUGGUUUCUAGAGCUAAGAUAAUGAUUAAUAGGGACAAUUGGGGGCAUUCGUAUUAACGCGUCAGAGGUGGAAUUCUUGGAUUGCGUUACGACGAACUACUGCGAAAGCAUUUGCCAAGGAUGUUUUCAUUGA
rnacentral:rRNA from 1 species